AUCACGAAUCAACCAAUCUCCUCCACCUUUUCCUUCCUGCUGCAGUGCUCCAUUUUCGAAAGCCUUCCUCCUCUUUCAACGAGAUUCUUCAAUCAAACAAAACCACCGCCAACUCUGUAAAUUGCUUUUCCACCUGUACCCAAAUUCGACGACUAGCUCACACGCGAGAACCGCGACGCGCCACCAGUCCAUCCUUGCAUUUUCCAAAACCCUCUAUACGGAAGGGUUCCAAAGAUUGAAAAAAUUAUGGGUUCUUGAAGGAUUGGAGUGAGUGAAUCUUCCCCUCUGCCUCUUCGCCUCAUCUGGCAAAACAUCGUCCCCUUUAGCUCUGUUGCUCACAAUUAACAGAAAAAUAUUCGAAACCUAAAACCCUCAAAUCAGCAAAGCGAAUUCCCACACUUAAACCUCGAAACCAACAAAUCGAUUUCAAGUGUUAAGCGGCUAGGUUCUAGGUCUUCUAAUUCUGGCGAGCUGUUUUCGUACGAACGCCGGCAAACCGUACUAUGUCGUCGUCUUGCCUUCGUCUUUCAGUUUCGAAAUUCCAAUUUAAGCGGUCGAUGAAAGCAGAGUGGGUAAGAUCAGUUGCUCUGCAGCCUCACCCUCCAAACGCUACCCCAUCACUUUGCUUCUCGGCGAUGGCAUUGGUCUCAACCUCGCCCCCUCCAUCGAUGGUUUCUUUUAAUUCUGCUUCCGUUUUCUUCCUUUUCUCAAUUUUAUUUCCAUUUUACCUGUUUGGUUCCUGAGAAACGGUGGGAAAAUUAAAAGGAAAAGUCUUUAAUUUUCCCAUAUUUUCUUUGGGUUAAUGUUUAACAUUUUGAGCUGCUCUGUGUGUUGUAUAAUCGAGUAAUUUUGUUGGGAUUAGUAAUUAUAUAACAUUUGGAUAUUUGGAUU